GCAUAAAUAAGUCUCCUGUUGGGCACAAUGAUUUAUUCAUUUCUCCUCCAAGAUGAGUAUCAUAUGGGACUCAUUAUAUAAUGGAUUUCAGCUCAUCUGAAUGAUUAUGCUGCCCAUGUGGGACCUGACAGAGCCUAGGCCCUGGGAACUGGACACCUAACACCAGAGGCUCCGUGGGAACCCUGUCCCCAGCUGGGCCCAGCUCCAUGGCUCAGAGGCGCCUCAGCACAGGCUCACGGAAAAGCAUCUCUCCCUGCUCCUGAACGAAGUCCUUCGUGCCAUGGCCAGGCAGGACAAGUUGCUACCAUAAGGGUGCUGGACGAUCCUGGAGUCCUGAGCUACGUGGGCUGGCCGGUUUCCCGACGUCGGGUGGAGGAGGAGUAUGACAUAGAAUCAGAUCCACCAGUGAAGGGAACCCUCCGGCCCAGCAGGUCCCAGAACCACAUGGGGCGGGCUGGGGACACAGAGAGACUCCCACAGCCUGACACACAGGAACGCCGAGGCCCAGGCGGCCCAUAUGCACGUGAGGUCCUCCCAUCUGCACCCACCCAUCUCUCAUUCCUUAUGGCUGCCUUCUGGCGCUACCUCCGCGUGGGAGUAGUGCAGCCCCCUGGUCCCCCCAGCACAUGAAGAGGCCGUCCAAGGCUAACUCCACCUGUGACAGCACUGGAACUCCAGAAACCAGGCUGAAUUGUUUCCUACUCAAUGGAGUGUAUGUUCAUCCUUUCACACCCUCCAUCUUAUUCUAAGAAAAAGCAUUUACGAUCGGAAUUGAUGAUGGCUUACAUAAAUACAGCAAAACAAAGAAGAAGGAGGAAAGCAGUCCAAAGGGAGUUUGGGAAGAAAUGACGACCCUGAGAAGUCCAGGACAAGUAAACAGAGCCGUAUGGUGAGGACUGGUACCCUUGCUAGAAGCUGGCCACGCAUUUAGUUCCAAACUUUCUAGCAACUACUGCAAAAAGCGCAGUGUGAUCAGAUAGGUGAAUAAACAUCAGUAACAUAAAAAUAAACUAUUUGUCUAGGAGAAAACCCUAAAAUUCUAGUGCUAAAUCCAGAAAUACGUCCCCUGAAGGUGCCUAUGUGGGAGACACACACACGGUAAGGAGCAGUGUCUCCACCGACAGCUCUAAGGUAAGCAGAGGAACACGCCUGUGGGGCCGUGUCACGUUUCUGCCCCCAGAGUAAGACAGUGGAAAACAGCAAAGAGAAAUUCAAGAGAGCAACGCUUUGCAGGAGCUGAAAUAACACAGCCCAGGUAAGAAGUGGAUCCAAGACCCCGUGGAAGGGCUGUCCUCGGUAAACAGGGCUGCUCUUGAUCCUGCCUCCGAUGACGGCCCGUCAGGAGGGAUCUGCAGUGUCAGAACACAGUCGUCUCCUGGGAAUGGUGAAGGGUCCAGCCACACUGUGACUGUCAGCCUGGCAGGCUGACCCCAGGGAAGAGCUGAUGAAAGCAGUGUGAGCUGGACUUCCUUUCCGCUGGGAGUGGCCGAGGAGGACACCCCUGGACCAAGUCCAUUCCAUGCAGUUUGGGGUCUGCUCCAGAACUUGGUAGAAGAGCCCCCCAGUUCCUCAAGAUGGAAUUGACCCAGGACAGUCUCAAAGUGGGUGUAACUUGACAUUCGUCUUGGCCACAAACGCUUGUAGGGAGACCCAGUAGGAAGGGGUGGGGUGCCUGUUCCUCCAAGUCACAUGGAUUUCAAAAGAGAGGCCAGGCUUGGGUGGGAGUGGUGGCCAAAAAUAUGGAUGUGGUCCUAGAGCGUGGCCAGUGGCGGUUUGGGGCAGUUAUAAGAUCUGGGGGCCGGUUGUUUAGGCCGAUUUCCUCUUGACAAUGGAACAGCACAUAGACACUGACAGCAGGCAUCUUUUUCUCCUGGGGCCGCAUGAAACCCACUUACAACCCAUACGAAGUCAUUAGAAUAUAAAUCAAAUAGGGAGGAACAUAGCAAAAAAAAAAACUUUCCUGUUUUAAAAAUGUCCACAGGAAACUUUAUGAUUUAUCAUUCGUGGACCUCAGCUCUAGAGUGACAUUAGCGGUCAGAUUCUGCCCUGGCAUCAGGGACCGUGGGGAGUGCUCGGUCUCCACCUCUAGGUCUAGGCUGGCCUUUCCCUGCCUCCUGUGGAUCCAGCCCCACACUGAGGCUGGUGGAAGCCCCACACUGAGGCUGGCCAGAGCCAGGCCUCCACUGUUCUUCCCACAUUCCUGAUUUUUCAAAUUAUACAUUAUGAGGGGCCGUGUCUGGGGCCCACUGGGUGGUGCCCAGGGGUACCCAGGGUCUGGAUCUUGUGGCAGAACCUGCCAAUCCCACACGUCAGCACUGAUGUCCUAAAAUGGAGGUGUCCACCAGCUCUGCAGGCUACACUCAGACCUUUCUAUGUGGACAUUAGAUUUGUACUUUCCCCAAGACACUUAGUGGACUGAUGAGAUUUAAAUGUAAUAAAGCCAGGUGUCUCUCCUAAUGUUCAUUUCUCAUGUCCUCAUGCCCACCUGGUUGGAUUGUUUUUUGGUUUCUGGUUCUCCUCAGAUCAGGUAAGCAUCACCCAGUGAGGCCGAAAUUAGUUAUAAACUAUGGGCAACCUGGUAACAGUGAACAGAGGGAGAAAUAACCUGGCUGUUUCAGAAGUCUUUGCAGUAGGGUUAAAAAGCAAAAGCAAACCAAAAACUCAGAGGGCAAGAGGCGAUCCACAGAAGAACUAUUCACAGAAGGAUUUUCCCUCAAACUCACUCUUCCACUCCGUCCAAACCCCAAAUAACCUAUAGAGUGGAUUUCCCGACAUAACAGGGCUCUGACUAGGACCUACACUGUUUCCGAAUGAGAAUGCCAACACUCCUGACUUAAUCAUAGCGAAGUUUAACAAUCCAGAUCCACUGGAUUAGUCCUAAUAAUGCUUAACUAUCACUUGCCAGGCACCAGGUCUAUGUUUCACUAUCUGCAGACAUUAUCUUGCUGAACCCUCAGAACACCCCAGCGAGGGGUAAACACUUCUUCAUACUCGAUGUGUAGAUGAAAUCGCUGUAGGAGGGGCUGGGCCACUGGCUGAGCCAACAAAGAAGCAUUGCAAGAUUGGUAACUCGAGGUGCACCUGGAUUCCCAGACAGGGCCAUCGGAGGCCAGGCAGGAACAUUGCUGGAAUGUGAUGGAUCCAGAGGGGCAGCUGCGGUCUUUGCCAGCGCUUAGGAGCCCUGAAAACACUCGUGGCCAUGUGGACGACUGAGAGGUGUGCACACCUCACUCACUGGCCUGAGAGGGAAGAUGAGAGAGCAGCAGUUUCUGGAUGCAACAGCCCCAGAGGCCUCCCCAGGUCCCAUCUCUCCCACUCUCGGGUCCGACUACUGGCGAGUCACUCCAACAGGCUGACUUCCUGAGCCCAGGGCGGCCAGCAGAUGCUGAGAUCUGCAGGCAGGUGGAGGUGGCAGGGGAAGAAGGCCCGGGAAGAGGCAGCAGGGCUGGACG
rnacentral:lncRNA from 1 species